rnacentral:rRNA from 1 species
UGGCGGCGUGCUUAAACAUGCAAGUCGAACGAUGAACCGCUUUCGGGCGGGGAUUAGUGGCGAACGGGUGAGUAACACGUGGGCAAUCUGCCCUGCACUCUGGGACAAGCCCUGGAAACGGGGUCUAAUACCGGAUAUGACCGUCUGCCGCAUGGUGGAUGGUGUAAAGCUCCGGCGGUGCAGGAUGAGCCCGCGGCCUAUCAGCUUGUUGGUGAGGUAGUGGCUCACCAAGGCGACGACGGGUAGCCGGCCUGAGAGGGCGACCGGCCACACUGGGACUGAGACACGGCCCAGACUCCUACGGGAGGCAGCAGUGGGGAAUAUUGCACAAUGGGCGAAAGCCUGAUGCAGCGACGCCGCGUGAGGGAUGACGGCCUUCGGGUUGUAAACCUCUUUCAGCAGGGAAGAAGCGAAAGUGACGGUACCUGCAGAAGAAGCGCCGGCUAACUACGUGCCAGCA